rnacentral:rRNA from 2 species
ACGUUACCCGCAGAAGAAGCACCGGCUAACUCCGUGCCAGCAGCCGCGGUAAUACGGAGGGUGCAAGCGUUAAUCGGAAUUACUGGGCGUAAAGCGCACGCAGGCGGUCUGUCAAGUCGGAUGUGAAAUCCCCGGGCUCAACCUGGGAACUGCAUUCGAAACUGGCAGGCUUGAGUCUUGUAGAGGGGGGUAGAAUUCCAGGUGUAGCGGUGAAAUGCGUAGAGAUCUGGAGGAAUACCGGUGGCGAAGGCGGCCCCCUGGACAAAGACUGACGCUCAGGUGCGAAAGCGUGGGGAGCAAACAGGAUUAGAUACCCU